GGUUAAGCGACUAAGCGUACACGGUGGAUGCCCUGGCAGUCAGAGGCGAUGAAGGACGUGCUAAUCUGCGAUAAGCGUCGGUAAGGUGAUAUGAACCGUUAUAACCGGCGAUUUCCGAAUGGGGAAACCCAGUGUGAUUCGUCACACUAUCAUUAACUGAAUCCAUAGGUUAAUGAGGCGAACCGGGGGAACUGAAACAUCUAAGUACCCCGAGGAAAAGAAAUCAACCGAGAUUCCCCCAGUAGCGGCGAGCGAACGGGGAGGAGCCCAGAGCCUGAAUCAGUGUGUGUGUUAGUGGAAGCGUCUGGAAAGGCGCGCGAUACAGGGUGACAGCCCCGUACACAAAAAUGCACAUGCUGUGAGCUCGAUGAGUAGGGCGGGACACGUGGUAUCCUGUCUGAAUAUGGGGGGACCAUCCUCCAAGGCUAAAUACUCCUGACUGACCGAUAGUGAACCAGUACCGUGAGGGAAAGGCGAAAAGAACCCCGGCGAGGGGAGUGAAAAAGAACCUGAAACCGUGUACAUACAAGCAGUGGGAGCCUCUUUAUGGGGUGACUGCGUACCUUUUGUAUAAUGGGUCAGCGACUUAUAUUCUGUAGCAAGGUUAACCGAAUAGGGGAGCCGAAGGGAAACCGAGUCUUAACUGGGCGUUAAGUUGCAGGGUAUAGACCCGAAACCCGGUGAUCUAGCCAUGGGCAGGUUGAAGGUUGGGUAACACUAACUGGAGGACCGAACCGACUAAUGUUGAAAAAUUAGCGGAUGACUUGUGGCUGGGGGUGAAAGGCCAAUCAAACCGGGAGAUAGCUGGUUCUCCCCGAAAGCUAUUUAGGUAGCGCCUCGUGAACUCAUCUCCGGGGGUAGAGCACUGUUUCGGCAAGGGGGUCAUCCCGACUUACCAACCCGAUGCAAACUGCGAAUACCGGAGAAUGUUAUCACGGGAGACACACGGCGGGUGCUAACGUCCGUCGUGAAGAGGGAAACAACCCAGACCGCCAGCUAAGGUCCCAAAGUCAUGGUUAAGUGGGAAACGAUGUGGGAAGGCCCAGACAGCCAGGAUGUUGGCUUAGAAGCAGCCAUCAUUUAAAGAAAGCGUAAUAGCUCACUGGUCGAGUCGGCCUGCGCGGAAGAUGUAACGGGGCUAAACCAUGCACCGAAGCUGCGGCAGCGACGCUUAUGCGUUGUUGGGUAGGGGAGCGUUCUGUAAGCCUGUGAAGGUGUGCUGUGAGGCAUGCUGGAGGUAUCAGAAGUGCGAAUGCUGACAUAAGUAACGAUAAAGCGGGUGAAAAGCCCGCUCGCCGGAAGACCAAGGGUUCCUGUCCAACGUUAAUCGGGGCAGGGUGAGUCGACCCCUAAGGCGAGGCCGAAAGGCGUAGUCGAUGGGAAACAGGUUAAUAUUCCUGUACUUGGUGUUACUGCGAAGGGGGGACGGAGAAGGCUAUGUUGGCCGGGCGACGGUUGUCCCGGUUUAAGCGUGUAGGCUGGUUUUCCAGGCAAAUCCGGAAAAUCAAGGCUGAGGCGUGAUGACGAGGCACUACGGUGCUGAAGCAACAAAUGCCCUGCUUCCAGGAAAAGCCUCUAAGCAUCAGGUAACAUCAAAUCGUACCCCAAACCGACACAGGUGGUCAGGUAGAGAAUACCAAGGCGCUUGAGAGAACUCGGGUGAAGGAACUAGGCAAAAUGGUGCCGUAACUUCGGGAGAAGGCACGCUGAUAUGUAGGUGAAGUCCCUCGCGGAUGGAGCUGAAAUCAGUCGAAGAUACCAGCUGGCUGCAACUGUUUAUUAAAAACACAGCACUGUGCAAACACGAAAGUGGACGUAUACGGUGUGACGCCUGCCCGGUGCCGGAAGGUUAAUUGAUGGGGUCAGCGCAAGCGAAGCUCUUGAUCGAAGCCCCGGUAAACGGCGGCCGUAACUAUAACGGUCCUAAGGUAGCGAAAUUCCUUGUCGGGUAAGUUCCGACCUGCACGAAUGGCGUAAUGAUGGCCAGGCUGUCUCCACCCGAGACUCAGUGAAAUUGAACUCGCUGUGAAGAUGCAGUGUACCCGCGGCAAGACGGAAAGACCCCGUGAACCUUUACUAUAGCUUGACACUGAACAUUGAGCCUUGAUGUGUAGGAUAGGUGGGAGGCUUAGAAGUGUGGACGCCAGUCUGCAUGGAGCCGACCUUGAAAUACCACCCUUUAAUGUUUGAUGUUCUAACGUUGACCCGUAAUCCGGGUUGCGGACAGUGUCUGGUGGGUAGUUUGACUGGGGCGGUCUCCUCCUAAAGAGUAACGGAGGAGCACGAAGGUUGGCUAAUCCUGGUCGGACAUCAGGAGGUUAGUGCAAUGGCAUAAGCCAGCUUGACUGCGAGCGUGACGGCGCGAGCAGGUGCGAAAGCAGGUCAUAGUGAUCCGGUGGUUCUGAAUGGAAGGGCCAUCGCUCAACGGAUAAAAGGUACUCCGGGGAUAACAGGCUGAUACCGCCCAAGAGUUCAUAUCGACGGCGGUGUUUGGCACCUCGAUGUCGGCUCAUCACAUCCUGGGGCUGAAGUAGGUCCCAAGGGUAUGGCUGUUCGCCAUUUAAAGUGGUACGCGAGCUGGGUUUAGAACGUCGUGAGACAGUUCGGUCCCUAUCUGCCGUGGGCGCUGGAGAACUGAGGGGGGCUGCUCCUAGUACGAGAGGACCGGAGUGGACGCAUCACUGGUGUUCGGGUUGUCAUGCCAAUGGCACUGCCCGGUAGCUAAAUGCGGAAGAGAUAAGUGCUGAAAGCAUCUAAGCACGAAACUUGCCCCGAGAUGAGUUCUCCCUGACUCCUUGAGAGUCCUGAAGGAACGUUGAAGACGACGACGUUGAUAGGCCGGGUGUGUAAGCGCAGCGAUGCGUUGAGCUAACCGGUACUAAUGAACCGUGAGGCUUAACCUU
rnacentral:rRNA from 1 species